rnacentral:rRNA from 1 species
AUUGAACGCUGGCGGCAGGCCUAACACAUGCAAGUCGAGCGGAUGAAGGGAGCUUGCUCCUGGAUUCAGCGGCGGACGGGUGAGUAAUGCCUAGGAAUCUGCCUGGUAGUGGGGGAUAACGUCCGGAAACGGGCGCUAAUACCGCAUACGUCCUGAGGGAGAAAGUGGGGGAUUUUCGGACCUCACGCUAUCAGAUGAGCCUAGGUCGGAUUAGCUAGUUGGUGGGGUAAAGGCCUACCAAGGCGACGAUCCGUAACUGGUCUGAGAGGAUGAUCAGUCACACUGGAACUGAGACACGGUCCAGACUCCUACGGGAGGCAGCAGUGGGGAAUAUUGGACAAUGGGCGAAAGCCUGAUCCAGCAAUGCCGCGUGUGUGAAGAAGGUCUUCGGAUUGUAAAGCACUUUAAGUUGGGAGGAAGGGCAGUAAGUUAAUACCUUGCUGUUUUGACGUUACCAACAGAAUAAGCACCGGCUAACUUCGUG